AGAUCCCCUCCUCUCUUCUCCCGAUUCACCCCUCGUCUCCCUCCCAUCCCACGCCGCCGCCGCCGCCCACCGUGCUUCUUCUCUCCCCCGCACCAUCCUUCGCUCCCCCGCACCCGCCGCUCAUCCCCGCCGUCCUUUCUCGCUGCCAGCCCCGCCGCGCUCCUUCACUCCGCCACCCGCUCGGCCCCGCCGCCCCUUCACUCCUACGCAUGGACAGGGGAGGCCGCACGCACGCACGCACCAGAGACCGGGCGGCGGAGGCCGCGCCCGACGGGGAGGCCGGACGGCGGAGGUCGCACGCACCUGAGGCCGGACAGCGACGACGGAGGCCGCACGCACCUGAGGCCAGACAGCGACGACGGAGGCUGCACGCACCCGACGGGGAGGCCGAAUGGGGACGGCGGGAGGCCGCACCCAGCCGACGGGGAGGCCAGCACAGUGACGGCGGGAGGCCGCACGCAUCGGACGGGGAGGCCAGAAGGCGACGGCGCGAGGAGGCAGCACGCACCGGACGGGGAGGCUGGAAGGCGACGGCGCGCGGAGGCCGCACGCACCCGAUGGCGACGGCGGAGGUCGAUUUGGAUUAUCCGCUGGAUUGGAUCAAACUGCGAAUUCUCAUGUUGAGACAAUGAUGUUGACUGAUGCACCUCUUCUAUAUACUCCUGGACAGGUAGCUUAAGCUAUAAAUAAUAUGAUUAAUCUUCAAUUAAUGUUUAUCUUUAUGACCUUAAUUUGUCGGAACUCUGUGUUUCAUGAUGCUAAUCAGAUAAUUGCAAAGUGUUCUUUCAAGGCAACACUUUGUUUGUGUGGUCGAACCUUUUUUUAAGAUAUUCAGCACAAUCAAUCACCUGGUAAGAACGUUUGCCUAGCUUGGCACAGUACAGUUUAUAACAUAAUCAUGUAAAGUCCCACCAAUAAUUGUUCUUUAGCUAUGUGUUUCAUUUCACCGGUCUACAUGAACACUCUGUGUUAAAAAAAAAGAUUAACCAAGGUGGUGCUUGGUUGAACAUAUGCCACUGGUUAGGAGGGUAUUUAAGCAUUUGUGCCGUUAUCAGUACCUUUCACAUUGCCUCUAUUAUUUCAACAUGUGUAUAUGCAGGUUAACCAGCUUCAUCUACCUGGUAUGAAAGAAAUGAGGCAUGCUAAUCGCAAGUUAAAGCAUUGUUUGGAUCCAAGCUCUCACGAUGAGCACAAGAAGUACCCCCUCUUUUGCAGUAUUGAUAAAAACCAAUUUUACUACGGUGUCAUCAUCAUCACUCAAAGAAAAGCACCCGGUCUGAUUAUUUCCAUGUUACUCUGUUAGAGCUCACUGUUGAUGGGUUGGUUGGAACUGCGACAGAGCGAUCGAGGCCAGUGAAUUGGAUUCUAUAGUCGAGGGGAGCUCUGUAGAUUGUAACACAUCAUUUUUUCCUGCAUGAAGGUAGAAGAUAGCGACAGAGUGCUGCAGGAUAAUGAGAUGUUGAAGCGGCAGACUGAAUCCAUGACACCGAAGUGCAAUUGCGGCAGAUUAUCUCUAUCUUUUCUUUUCAUUUUUCUUAUUAUUGAGUGAGAACAGAAUGAGGAACUGUGUGAUAGUACAUACAACAACUAGUAAAAAGAAACUUAUGUUUGCAAUUGUUAAUGACAUAGAUACUUGCAUGUUCUUUGAAGUGGUCAUUUGUGAGUAGCAAUGCAUAAUGAGGUUUUUUGGCUGAUUUA